rnacentral:rRNA from 1 species
UACGUAGGGUGCAAGCGUUGUCCGGAUUUAUUGGGCGUAAAGAGCAUGUAGGAGCUUCGCGCGUCUUUGGUUAAAGACCACCGCCUAACGGUGGGACUGCCGAGGAUACGGCGGAGCUGGAGGAGGUUAGAGGUGCAUAGAACGCAUGGUGUAGGGGUGAAAUCCGUUGAUAUCAUGCGGAAUACCGAAGGCGAAGGCAGUGCACUGGGACCUUCCUGACUCUGAGAUGCGAAAGCGUGGGGAGCAAAAAGG